rnacentral:rRNA from 1 species
GACAGAGGGGGCAAGCGUUGCUCGGAAUCACUGGGCGUAAAGGGCGCGUAGGCGGGAUGGCAAGUCGGUCGUGAAAUCUCUCGGUUCAACCGAGAAACGUCGGCCGAUACUGCCGUUCUUGAGGGAUGCAGAGGAGACUGGAAUUCCCGGUGUAGCGGUGAAAUGUGUAGAGAUCGGGAGGAACACCGGUGGCGAAGGCGGGUCUCUGGGCCGAUACUGACACUGAGGAGCGAAAGCGUGGGGAGCAAACAGG